UACGGAGGAUCCAAGCGUUAUCCGGAAUCAUUGGGUUUAAAGGGUCCGUAGGCGGUUUUGUAAGUCAGUGGUGAGAGCCCAUCGCUCAACGGUGGAACGGCCAUUGAUACUGCAAGACUUGAAUUAUUAGGAAGUAACUAGAAUAUGUAGUGUAGCGGUGAAAUGCUUAGAGAUUACAUGGAAUACCAAUUGCGAAGGCAGGUUACUACUAAUGGAUUGACGCUGAUGGACGAAAGCGUGGGUAGCGAACAGG
rnacentral:rRNA from 1 species